rnacentral:rRNA from 1 species
CGGGUGAGUAACGCGUGAGGAACCUGCCUCAAAGAGGGGGACAACAGUUGGAAACGACUGCUAAUACCGCAUAAGCCCACGGCUCGGCAUCGAGCAGAGGGAAAAGGAGCAAUCCGCUUUGAGAUGGCCUCGCGUCCGAUUAGCUGGUUGGUGAGGUAACGGCCCACCAAGGCGACGAUCGGUAGCUGGACUGAGAGGUUGAACGGCCACAUUGGGACUGAGACACGGCCCAG